GAUGAACGCUGGCGGCGUGCCUAAUACAUGCAAGUCGAGCGAACGGACGAGAAGCUUGCUUCUCUGAUGUUAGCGGCGGACGGGUGAGUAACACGUGGAUAACCUACCUAUAAGACUGGGAUAACUUCGGGAAACCGGAGCUAAUACCGGAUAAUAUUUUGAACCGCAUGGUUCAAAAGUGAAAGACGGUCUUGCUGUCACUUAUAGAUGGAUCCGCGCUGCAUUAGCUAGUUGGUAAGGUAACGGCUUACCAAGGCAACGAUGCAUAGCCGACCUGAGAGGGGGAUCGGCCACACUGGAACUGAGACACGGUCCAGACUCCUACGGGAGGCAGCAGUAGGGAAUCUUCCGCAAUGGGCGAAAGCCUGACGGAGCAACGCCGCGUGAGUGAUGAAGGUCUUCGGAUCGUAAAACUCUGUUAUUAGGGAAGAACAUAUGUGUAAGUAACUGUGCACAUCUUGACGGGACCUAAUCAGAAAGCCACGGCUAACUACGUG
rnacentral:rRNA from 1 species